GUGGCCGUAGCUCAGUUGGUAGAGCACCUGCUUGUGGAGCAGGCUGUCGCGGGUUCGAAUCCCGUCGGUCACCCCA
rnacentral:tRNA from 5 species